rnacentral:rRNA from 1 species
GACGAACGCUGGCGGCGUGCCUAAUACAUGCAAGUCGAACGAGAGCGACCGGUGCUUGCACUGGUCAAUCUAGUGGCGAACGGGUGAGUAACACGUGGGUAACCUGCCCAUCAGAGGGGGAUAACAUCCGGAAACGGAUGCUAAAACCGCAUAGGUCUUCGAACCGCAUGGUUUGAAGAGGAAAAGAGGCGCAAGCUUCUGCUGAUGGAUGGACCCGCGGUGCAUUAGCUAGUUGGUGAGGUAACGGCUCACCAAGGCCGUGAUGCAUAGCCGACCUGAGAGGGUGAUCGGCCACAUUGGGACUGAGACACGGCCCAAACUCCUACGGGAGGCAGCAGUAGGGAAUCUUCCGCAAUGGACGCAAGUCUGACGGAGCAACGCCGCGUGAGUGAAGAAGGUUCUCGGAUCGUAAAACUCUGUUGUUAGAGAAGAACAAGUGCUAGAGUAACUGUUAGCGCCUUGACGGUAUCUAACCAGAAAGCCACGGCUAACUACGUG